GUCCUGUAGCGCAAAUUAUAGCGUGUUGGACUGCUAAUCCAAAGGUCGUGGGUACGAAUCCCGUCUGGGAUG